CGGUAAACAAAGGGAAGCAGCGCCGUGAGGCUGAGCAAAUCCCAAAAAUAACGUCCCAGUUCGGAUUGUAGUCUGCAACCCGACUACAUGAAGCCGGAAUCGCUAGUAAUCGCGAAUCAGAAUGCCGCGGUGAAUACGUUCCCGGGUCUUGUACACACCGCCCGUCACACCAUGGGAGCCGGAAAUGCCCGAAGUCAGUGACCCAACCGCAAGGAGGGAGCUGCCGAAGGUGGAGCUGGUAACUGGGGUGAAGUCGUAACAAGGUAAC
rnacentral:rRNA from 1 species